GAUAUUCUGUCCUUGUUUUCAGACAUUACUUGUGGGUUCCAAAGUACGGAAUUGCAUGGUAGCAGGCUGUCUGGCAGAGUCCCUAUCUGUGAAGUGGUGAAGUGUGGAGCGCUCCUGCUGUUGCCAAUGGAUAAUCUGUUGCACGCGCUGAAGAGUCGUAUGCCUACGGAGAGGUGGUGGAGUUCAGUGUGACAGGCAACUGACUCUGGAUGGACCCAGGUCUUACACUGCUCUGAAAAGGGCAGUUUGAGCCAUAUCCACCUAAAUGUAUCGACAUAACUUGUCCAACACCUAAAAUCGAUAAAGCUUUCCGCGUAGAGGGACAUAUACCUCCAUACAAAUACAAGUCUUUGUCAGAUAUGAAUGUGAAAAGGAUAUGAAAUGGAAGGUGAUUCAGGUUACCU